rnacentral:rRNA from 1 species
GACGGAGGAUGCAAGCGUUAUCCGGAAUUAUUGGGCGUAAAGCGUCCGCAGGUGGCUGUUCAAGUCUGCUGUCAAAGCGCAGAGCUUAACUCUGUACAGGCGGUGGAAACUGAAGAGCUAGAGUAUGGUAGGGGUAGAGGGAAUUCCCGGUGUAGCGGUGGAAUGCGUAGAUAUCGGGAAGAACACCAGUGGCGAAAGCGCUCUACUGGGCCAUAACUGACACUGAGGGACGAAAGCUAGGGGAGCGAAAGGG